CAACCUGCCCAUCACUUGGGGAUAACCUUGCGAAAGUAAGACUAAUACCCAAUGAUAUCUCUAGAAGACAUCUGAAGGAGAUUAAAGAUUUAUCGGUGAUGGAUGGGGAUGCGUCUGAUUAGCUUGUUGGCGGGGUAACGGCCCACCAAGGCGACGAUCAGUAGGGGUUCUGAGAGGAAGGUCCCACACAUUGGAACUGAGACACGGUCCAAACUCCUACGGGAGGCAGCAGUGAGGAAUAUUGGUCAAUGGACGAGAGUCUGAACCAGCCAAGUAGCGUGCAGGAUGACGGCCCUAUGGGUUGUAAACUGCUUUUAUAAGGGAAUAAAGUUAGUCUCGUGAGACUUUUUGCAUGUACCUUAUGAAUAAGGACCGGCUAAUUCCGUGCCAGCAGCCGCGGUAAUACGGAAGGUCCGGGCGUUAUCCGGAUUUAUUGGGUUUAAAGGGAGCGUAGGCCGGAGAUUAAGCGUGUUGUGAAAUGUAGACGCUCAACGUCUGCACUGCAGCGCGAACUGGUUUCCUUGAGUACGCACAAAGUGGGCGGAAUUCGUGGUGUAGCGGUGAAAUGCUUAGAUAUCACGAAGAACUCCGAUUG
rnacentral:rRNA from 1 species